rnacentral:rRNA from 1 species
GGCUCAGGAUGAACGCUAGCGGCAGGCUUAACACAUGCAAGUCGAGGGGUAUAGUAGCAAUACUAGAGACCGGCGCACGGGUGCGUAACGCGUAUGCAAUCUACCUUUUACAGAGGGAUAGCCCAGAGAAAUUUGGAUUAAUACCUCAUAGCAUAGCAACUUCGCAUGAAGUCACUAUUAAAGUCACAACGGUAAAAGAUGAGCAUGCGUCCCAUUAGCUAGUUGGUAAGGUAACGGCUUACCAAGGCAACGAUGGGUAGGGGUCCUGAGAGGGAGAUCCCCCACACUGGUACUGAGACACGGACCAGACUCCUACGGGAGGCAGCAGUGAGGAAUAUUGGACAAUGGGCGCAAGCCUGAUCCAGCCAUGCCGCGUGCAGGAUGACGGUCCUAUGGAUUGUAAACUGCUUUUGCACAGGAAGAAACAACAUUACGUGUAAUGUCUUGACGGUACUGUGAGAAUAAGGAUCGGCUAACUCCGUGCCAGCAGCCGCGGUAAUACGGAGGAUCCAAGCGUUAUCCGGAAUCAUUGGGUUUAAAGGGUCCGUAGGCGGUCUUAUAAGUCAGUGGUGAAAUCUCCCCGCUCAACGGGGAAACGGCCAUUGAUACUGUAGGACUUGAAUUAUUAGGAAGUAACUAGAAUAUGUAGUGUAGCGGUGAAAUGCUUAGAGAUUACAUGGAAUACCAAUUGCGAAGGCAGGUUACUACUAAUGGAUUGACGCUGAUGGACGAAAGCGUGGGUAGCGAACAGGAUUAGAUACCCUGGUAGUCCACGCCGUAAACGAUGGAUACUAGCUGUUGGGGGCAACUUCAGUGGCUAAGCGAAAGUGAUAAGUAUCCCACCUGGGGAGUACGUUCGCAAGAAUGAAACUCAAAGGAAUUGACGGGGGCCCGCACAAGCGGUGGAGCAUGUGGUUUAAUUCGAUGAUACGCGAGGAACCUUACCAAGGCUUAAAUGUAGAUUGACCGGACUGGAAACAGUUUUUUCGCAAGACAAUUUACAAGGUGCUGCAUGGUUGUCGUCAGCUCGUGCCGUGAGGUGUCAGGUUAAGUCCUAUAACGAGCGCAACCCCUGUUGUUAGUUGCCAGCGAGUCAUGUCGGGAACUCUAACGAGACUGCCAGUGCAAACUGUGAGGAAGGUGGGGAUGACGUCAAAUCAUCACGGCCCUUACGCCUUGGGCUACACACGUGCUACAAUGGCCGGUACAGAGAGCAGCCACUGGGUGACCAGGAGCGAAUCUACAAAACCGGUCACAGUUCGGAUCGGAGUCUGCAACUCGACUCCGUGAAGCUUGGAAUCGCUAGUAAUCGGAUAUCAGCCAUGAUCCGGUGAAUACGUUCCCGGGCCUUGUACACACCGCCCGUCAAGCCAUGGAAGCUGGGGGUGCCUGAAGUCGGUGACCGCAAGGAGCUGCCUAGGGUAAAACUGGUAACUAGGGCUAAGUCGUAACAAGGUAGCCGUACCGGAAGGUGCGGCUGGAUCAC